CUCACCUGAGGGAGAGAGAAAAAGGAAAUAUGUUAUUCUUUGUGUGGCUUGAGUAAUGCUGCUUUCAGAAAAGUCUAAGGAAUGCAAACCAACAGGGUCAAAGCUCUUCUAUAGGAAAAUGAUUCUAAUAUGAGGUAUUAUUUUAGGAAAAGCUGUGCUGAAUGUUUUCAGGCCACCAAAGCAUGUGAUCUGACAUAUUGCUGGCAGAGAUCAGCUUGCAGUUGGAGCUUGGAUGGGAUGAGAAGCCUGGUGCUCUGCUGACACUAAUGUUGUCACUGCACAUUGGUCAGGACUCUGCCCUGGUGUCAAAAAUUUCUCUGUUUCUCAGAUUCAGGCUCUGAGCAAAUGUACAGCUCCAGGAUGAGGCUCAUGUUAUUUUAACUUAACUUACAGAUUUCUUUUUGAGACAAAUAUUUGAACAAUUUUCAUCUAGUAAGUGAACCUGAUAUACGAACAAGUCAGCAGCAGCCAUCACCUGUGCACUAUUCACAAAAGGAGUGCCUGACUGCGAGGGAUCAGUGUCCAAGCUGAAGGUAUGAUAUGGGAUCAGUGUGACUAUAACAGUGGUUGGCAUAUUAGAGUUCAAUCUUAUUUUUCUAAACAAACACCUUAAAAUAAACGAUGUGAUGCAGUCCAUUCCUGUUGUAAAGGAGCAGAACCCCUCUUACCCUUCAAGAUUAAUCUAAAGGCGUAAUAUGUGUACAAGCACAUUUUGGGCCUAGCAAAUAUCUAUGACAAGAAAGUCACGCUGCAGUAAAAUAUUUCUGAAGCAGGUAGGCAGCUGAGGCAUUGUGUGUGAGAUGGACUGUGUGAGAUGGACAGUGCUUCCUGAAUGACUUCAAUGGCUUCUGUGUGAUUCAUCUGUCUCAAAGCAGCGAUCAACUCCUGAACUGUACCACCAGAGACCUAAGAGAGAAGACACCAGAUGCUCACCAUCAUCCAGGCUGGUUAGAACUGAAGGGCUCCUCACUGUCCAGGAGGACAGUGUUCUCUACACGUCUGAAUGUUCUUGAUAACUUGUUACAGCCACAUUACCUCAUAGUUAUCUAGCAGAGUUUUCGAUGGAGAAGGGCUCAACCUGAAGGCAUUAUUAAGUAUGCCAAGACCCAGUUUUUGUGCUAGAGUGGACCAGUUUUUGGUAGGAUCAGGCAAUUCCAAUAGUUUGUAAAGCUGCAUCUUGGAACUUUCAUUCAGCUCUCUCAAGUUUCCUGGGGAACAGAGAAAUAUGUUAGUUUAUUAUUUGCAGAAAUCACGCACCAGUUCAUUUCUAAGCAGAAACAAAACUAAACUGAAGAGUAUAUUAGCGUCCAGUCCCAGUGUUUAUAAAUGUAUUGCUGUAAUAUUGAAAAUGUA